UAGAAGACAUUUUGUUUUUGUGCUCUUUUCACACCAGCGCUCCCUUUUCCCACAGAAACCCUCUCCUUUCUCCCGCUCCAAGGCAGCCCUUUUCAAGCUGGGAAGCUCCAGGCAGGAUCAUGGAGGCAGGAGCAGCCGUCCCUCUAGUCCCUGUCUCAGCCCAGCCGCUGGGGUCUGCAUGGGGCUGAGAAAGCCACCCCCUCGUCAGUACUCUCCACGAACCCAUCCUCAUCCCAGUUUCCCCUCCCCCUGCCUCUGGCCCUGUCGUCUGGGAGCCCCCAAAGGUGUGACACCUCACACAGGGAUCGGAGAGCAGGAGCCCCGGGGGCCAGUCAGAGCUGGACAAGGUGACCACCAGCAGCACCCUCUUCUGAGGCCAGCCCAUCCAUUACCCUGUCAACACGCCCACUUCCACACCUUACUUCGGGCUCCGCACAGAACAAUGGCUGUAAUGAAAUCAUCAGUAAUCCCCCAAAAUCAUCUCGUCACGCUCAAGGUAGCCAUGCCAACCCCAUUGGAGAUGUAUGUUUGAAGAUAAUCAUAGGAAAUCCUCCACCCCACCCAGAGAAACCCUCUCCAGGUCAGCAGCAACCCUGGAGUACCCUACUACCUGACAGUGUUUUUCAGAAGUGUGGCGAGAGAGAGGAGCGUCAGAAACAUGAAACUUAAGAUAGCAGAGUGGAAGAAGAGAACAAGUCGUUAGCACUUUGAAACCAGACACCGGGAGGUAGCAGAUCCAUUGGGUGGCUAAGGAUCAUGGGUAUAGUGCGUCACGUGUAUGUCAGUGUGUCAGCGUGUGUGUGCGUUCAUAUGUGUGUGUGAAUGUGUGUGUGAGUGUGUGUGUGUGUGUGUGUGUGUGUGGGGAGGUGGAUGCUGACAGGGUCUCUCUCUCUUUCUCUCUCUCCCAGGUUGACUGGGUCACUCGGGGGGCCCCGGACCCCACACAAUGCCCUGGCAGCAGUGUGGGCUUUACUGGGCCUCUACAGAGCAGCGACGAGCUGCUAGCUUUACGAGAGACAGACGGAUGGAUCCCUUCACCUCGCGCCAUAAAGCCACCAGUCGGGGAUAAAAGAGGGCAGGUGCGAGGGCAAGCAUUGAGAGCUCACCUGCACCCAGCAGGGAACAGCCUCUAUCCAGCCAACCCAAGAGGGCCUCCACAUUCAGCCUCCUCUCACUAACACCACUAAUGGGGAACAGGGGCACUGUCAAAGAAGAGGAGAAUCAUUCCUUGUUUUGGAUGGCCUGGGAUCCUUAUUAGCUGUUAGUGCUAGAACACAGCUAUAAUGGUGAAGAGUUCAGUGCAGUUAACACAGAUGUUGACAGUGCAGUGCAGAGCAGGCUGCAACAGGUUGCUGCUAAAAGCUGUAAUUACAGUAUGAUCUGGAGACUCUAGUUACUGGGAGAGUGGUGGGAUCCUUGUUGGAGGGAGAACAUGGUUAGGUAACAGGUUGAUCAGGAGUCUGACAGGGAAUGGGACAUACAGACAGACUAACUGACAGAGGGUCAGGAUUGGAGACAGGAGGCAGGCAAGGUGGCAGAUGGGCUAAGCGACAGACAGACAGGUAGGCAUGGAGUCAUGGAGCCAGGCAGUCAGGGAGGCAAGCUGUCGACCCACCCUGGGUAGCUUCUGCCUUCCCUGUUGGAGUGACAGAUGUGUGGUGAAUCUUUAGCUCUCCUCAGAGCUCCUCACUCUCCACUGUCACCGCAUCUGUCCCUGGCAAUGUCACCUCCUCAGUCCCCCUUGGCUCAGCCCCCUCCUGUGUAAAUGCAGGACAACAAAAAUGAGUUCAGCGGACUUAUUGAUUAGUCCAGCCUGCACUGGGUAGCUUCAUUUAAUGACCUCUGUGACUCAUCAUUGACAAGGCUUUGUCUUUGUGAUUAGUUCAAAAUUUCACUGGGAAUAUGGGAACCCUGUGUCUCACUCAGUAGGACAAUUUAAACAGAACAUCUGUAGCCUAGCGGAUCAAUGCAAAAAUGUGCAUGUUGAUCUACAGUGCAGAAUGAUGAGCAUAUUUGAAUAUGUUGACAUGGAUCAAGCAGAUAAACAUUUGGACAAUGAUAAGUGGGUCAUGUUUGUGGGACAACAACAACAGCAAAGAAGAGGUCAACGUAUGCUCUCAACCGAACACAACGUCCUGUCUCAUUGUCUGCCUUAAACCCCACUGUAAAAAACUUAUACUGCCUCGGCCAUAGUAGAUGGUAAGUAGCAUUUUAUCCUCAUCGGUCUAAUCUUCUCAGACGUCUCAACGUUAAAGUGUCUGGACUCGCCGUCUCCCAUCCACUGUCCCUCUCUCCCACUCAGCUCAGCUCAGCCUGGCCUUGGCGAGAGAUGGUUUAUUUAAAUUGAAAAUUAGCAAAACAAAACAAGGGCAAGAGGAUCCCUGAAUGGGGCCCCUUUCUAUGGGAGCUCCUGUGCCGUUGAAUAAUGCAUAUGGGAGAAAGUAAACAGCAGCCUCGGGCCCAGCCCAGGGAACAAUGGGCCGCACACAGCCCAACCACGACGCCUGAUUUUAUUACGGGCCCUGUCAGUCCCCUCCUCCCUCCCUCCCUCCAUCCCUCCCUCCAGUACCUCCUCUAGCCUGGGAAUCGUGGGACGCAGGCCAGGCAGCAGCUGCUGACCGCUCCACACUGACCCAACACACUCCGCGACCUGCAGGAUAACUCCACACACACGCCCUCCCAGCCAGCACACACCACCACUGCAUACCUCCACUGUCACAGCCUGCAUGCCUGCCUACCACCACUACAGUGCAUACAUAUACACAGUCACACCAGGCAGCAACUGGUUGGCCACAUCCAGAUGGUGUCUUGUGAGGAAAUGUUUGAAUGCGCUGAAUGUUCGAAACAUAGAAUUUAUGUUUUUGUUCUUGUCAUGAAUGACUGACUCAUUUAGACUCAGGAAAAUAUCAGACUUUACCAACUCCAACCCCUAUUUCUGAAAUCUUGGCUUGGACAGUGACGGGUCACUGUGGCCACUUGUGAACUUUUCUCUCCACUAGAACAUUCUGUCUGUGUGUGUUCUCUCUCCGAUCAGGCUGGCAUUGAGAUUCCGGUCUUGCUUCUGGCUUCAGCCUGGGCCGGUUGCCAUGCCGACGGGCAAAUUGGCUAGCAGGAUGAGUAGUGAUGUGAUGUGGCUGUGGCUUUAAAGUCCCAACAAAGACUGUAUUACAACCCAAUCUUUGCAUAACACACUAUUGUUGUCACGUUCUACUGAUAUUAAUCCUCCUGCUGCUGGAGACGUGUGUGUCUCUCUGUGGAAAGGUGUUGUGUGUGUGUGUAUGUGCGUGCGUGAACGUGUGUGUAUGGCUGGACACCAGAAGUCACACUAAAGAUUAUCUACAGUCACAACGACUGAAGAUACAUAUAGAAUAAAAUAAAGGAUUUUGCAAUGAU